AUUGAACGCUGGCGGCAUGCCUAACACAUGCAAGUCGAACGCGAAAGAGGGGCAACUCUUGAGUAGAGUGGCGGACGGGUGAGUAAUACGUAGGAAUCUUCCUUUAAGUGGGGGAUAACCACGCGAAAGCGUGGCUAAUACCGCAUAAUAUCUUCGGAUUAAAGCAGGGGACCGCAAGGCCUUGCGCUUUUAGAUGAGCCUACGCCGGAUUAGCUAGUUGGUAGGGUAAUGGCCUACCAAGGCGACGAUCCGUAGCUGGUUUGAGAGAACGACCAGCCACACUGGGACUGAGAUACGGCCCAGACUCCUACGGGAGGCAGCAGUGGGGAAUAUUGCACAAUGGGCGCAAGCCUGAUGCAGCCAUGCCGCGUGUAUGAAGAAGGCCUUCGGGUUGUAAAGUACUUUCAGCGGGGAGGAAGGGAGUGAGGUUAAUAACCUCAUUCAUUGACGUUACCCGUAGAAGAAGCACCGGCUAACUCCGUGCCAGCCGCCGCCGUAA
rnacentral:rRNA from 1 species